GACGAACGCUGGCGGCGUGCUUAACACAUGCAAGUCGAACGGAAAGGCCCUGCUUUUGUGGGGUGCUCGAGUGGCGAACGGGUGAGUAACACGUGAGUAACCUGCCCUUGACUUUGGGAUAACCUCAGGAAACUGGGGCUAAUACCGGAUAGGAGCGCCUGCUGCAUGGUGGGGGUUGGACAGUUUCGGCGGUUGGGGAUGGACUCGCGGCUUAUCAGCUUGUUGGUGGGGUAGUGGCUUACCAAGGCUUUGACGGGUGGUCGGCCUGAGAGGGUGACCGGCCACAUUGGGACUGAGAUACGGCCCAGACGCCUACGGGAGGCAGCAGUGGGGAAUAUUGCACAAUGGGCGGAAGCCUGAUGCAGCAACGCCGCGUGCGGGAUGACGGCCUUCGGGUUGUAAACCGCUUUCGCCUGUGACGAAGCGUGAGUGACGGUAAUGGGUAAAGAAGCACCGGCUAACUACGUG
rnacentral:rRNA from 1 species